GUACACUCCUACGGGAGGCAGCAGUGGGGAAUUUUGGACAAUGGGCGAAAGCCUGAUCCAGCAAUGCCGCGUGAGUGAAGAAGGCCUUCGGGUUGUAAAGCUCUUUUGUCAGGGAAGAAACGGUGAAAGCUAAUAUCUUUUGCUAAUGACGGUACCUGAAGAAUAAGCACCGGCUAACUACGUGCCAGCAGCCGCGGUAAUACGUAGGGUGCAAGCGUUAAUCGGAAUUACUGGGCGUAAAGCGUGCGCAGGCGGUUUUGUAAGUCUGAUGUGAAAUCCCCGGGCUCAACCUGGGAAUUGCAUUGGAGACUGCAAGGCUAGAAUCUGGCAGAGGGGGGUAGAAUUCCACGUGUAGCAGUGAAAUGCGUAGAUAUGUGGAGGAACACCGAUGGCGAAGGCAGCCCCCUGGGUCAAGAUUGACGCUCAUGCACGAAAGCGUGGGGAGCAAACAGGAUUAGAUACCCCAGUAGUCCCAUGAU
rnacentral:rRNA from 1 species